GGAGCUGAAAUCAGUCGAAGAUACCAGCUGGCUGCAACUGUUUAAUAAAAACACAGCACUGUGCAAACACGAAAGUGGACGUAUACGGUGUGACGCCUGCCCGGUGCCGGAAGGUUAAUUGAUGGGGUCAGCCGCAAGGCGAAGCUCUUGAUCGAAGCCCCGGUAAACGGCGGCCGUAACUAUAACGGUCCUAAGGUAGCGAAAUUCCUUGUCGGGUAAGUUCCGACCUGCACGAAUGGCGUAAUGAUGGCCAGGCUGUCUCCACCCGAGACUCAGUGAAAUUGAACUCGCUGUGAAGAUGCAGUGUACCCGCGGCAAGACGGAAAGACCCCGUGAACCUUUACUAUAGCUUGACACUGAACCUUGAGCCUUGAUGUGUAGGAUAGGUGGGAGGCUUUGAAGCGUGGACGCCAGUCUGCGUGGAGCCAACCUUGAAAUACCACCCUUUAAUGUUUGAUGUUCUAACGUGGACCCGUAAUCCGGGUUGCGGACAGUGUCUGGUGGGUAGUUUGACUGGGGCGGUCUCCUCCCAAAGCGUAACGGAGGAGCACGAAGGUUAGCUAAUCCUGGUCGGACAUCAGGAGGUUAGUGCAAAGGCAUAAGCUAGCUUGACUGCGAGAGUGACAGCUCGAGCAGGUGCGAAAGCAGGUCUUAGUGAUCCGGUGGUUCUGAAUGGAAGGGCCAUCGCUCAACGGAUAAAAGGUACUCCGGGGAUAACAGGCUGAUACCGCCCAAGAGUUCAUAUCGACGGCGGUGUUUGGCACCUCGAUGUCGGCUCAUCACAUCCUGGGGCUGAAGUAGGUCCCAAGGGUAUGGCUGUUCGCCAUUUAAAGUGGUACGCGAGCUGGGUUUAGAACGUCGUGAGACAGUUCGGUCCCUAUCUGCCGUGGGCGUUGGAAGAUUGAGAGGGGUUGCUCCUAGUACGAGAGGACCGGAGUGAACGCACCACUGGUGUACGGGUUGUGAUGCCAAUUGCAUUGCCCGGUAGCUAAGUGCGGAAGAGAUAACCGCUGAAAGCAUCUAAGCGGGAAACUUGCCUCGAGAUGAGUCUUCCCUGGGCACUAGAUGCCCCUGAAGGGCCGUUGAAGACGACGACGUAGAUAGGCUGGGUGUGUAAGCGUAGCGAUACGUUGAGCUAACCAGUACUAAUGACCCGAGAGGCUUAACCUUACAACACCGAAGGUGUUU
rnacentral:rRNA from 2 species